CAGGCCCCGAGCUCGGGACUCCUCCCACCCCCGGGCACCACCGCCACCCUCUCCCUUGCUACUCGAUCGGUCUGCGCUCUUGGACAAUUUCGAGUCAAAAUCCUUUCCAGGAUGACACCAGGAUGGGUCACUGGGUCAGACUCAAACCUUGCAGUCUCUGUGGGGAAGAAAAAUGCCUUUUGACCCAGAAGAGGUGUCCCCUGUGUAGGUUUUCAGGCAGGAAAUCCCCAAGAAGUUCAGGAUACCGUGGUGGCCAGGAGCCGGCCGAGGACAAGCUGACCGAGCCCCUGUGUGGCCUUGUGCAAGUCACCGCGUCUGAAUGGCCCCCUCGGUGUCUGAGUGGGUGACUGACACGGUUCCCAUGAAGUCCCAGGCGUCCCAUGUGAGGCACGUGGUGAGCCUUUUAAAUAACUGCUGUAACAACGACGCGCGUGUGGGGAGCGCGGCGCAGCCUUGGCCGUUGCCCGCACCGCCUCCAUUCUCUGGGGGGAAAAAGAACAAGGAGGAGGCAGGCAAAGGGCCGGGGCCGGACUCUCCGACGACAUUCUCUCAGGAUGAGGGACCGGAGCGCGAGGGCCUGUGCCUGGAGCUCGACACUCGGAGAUGAGAAUGAGCGGAGGACAGAGGGGUCGCGGGCGCCCACGAUGGCAGGAUAUGAGUCCGUUAUGGGCGCAGAAGUGUGAGAGGGUUCUGGGAGUUCAGGACACUAGAGCCUAAGAGAGGACAGAUGAUUGUAAUAGGAGUUCCCGGGGACCAGGGUUAUUUGGCUCCAUUAAAAAUCAGAAAUGUGUACAGAGAAUGAAAUCCCUUCUAGA